rnacentral:sRNA from 1 species
UAUCCCAUGGGACUACAAUUAUCCCAUGGGAUUUUACCAAAAUCCCAUGGGAUAAUGGUCAAUCCCAUGGGAUU